UUCACUCUGACUGUUCUCUACAAUUCUCAGACAGAAACCAACCCUGAUCAGGAGGAAAUCGGGACAACUGGAAUUUGGAGCAUGAAGCUGGCAUCACGUGGGCACAGCCGGUGGCUGUCUGCCUCCCUUUCCUGUCGCUUCUAGGACUGAGUGCAUGUAGAUAUUCCUGAUGGUGCCAUUUUGAUCGCCCAACUUGGGGAUGGGGAGAGAGGACGAGAGAGAUUGGAGGUGGAAGGAGAAUAACACAGAGUUUUCAGAGUGACGCUCUGCCUUCUGGAUUAGUUACCUCAGCGAAUGCUCACAGCACUGGCUGCAGUGGCUCUGCCAUCUCUGCUCCUCGGAAGACGAAGCUGCAGGUGCUCACGUCGCCUCCAGCCCCGACUCCAGAGUCCGUGCUCCCUGGCUGCACCGCGGGUCUCCUAUGCAGGAUGGCAUCACUACACGGGGAACAGUGUGGGAGUUAGUCUCUAUAGCCGUCUUCCUGCUGCCCUCUGCAUCCUCGACAACUUCCAGCUCUUUGUGUUGCUGGUCUCCGGGAUUUGGACUCUUCCUCUGAAUGAGCCAGUGCAAUGACCAGACUGAACUUACCACUACGGACCCCACACCACGCCCUUGGGAUGCAAAGCUCCCACCCUGCAGCUUCUCAUCCAAAUCCCAGGCUCUGUGUCCCCCUCAUCCCCUCAGCACCUCUGUACCCUCUUAAAGACCCCGAGAGUCGUCUGGAUCUCCUGUGUGCACAACCUGUGCAGAACACUAGCGCUGGUUUGGGCUCAUCUUUGCAAAGGCCUUCCACUGUCGACGAAGUUCUCCCAUGGCCACAGGGGGGAAGAGGUUCGUCGUCAGCUGGAUGCUCUCAGAUGCUCCCUCUGUUUAUCUUGGGUUUCUGUUGGAGCGUCUUCCUUUCUGAAAUAGGGCCCUCAGAGUCAAGGGAACUAGAAAAUACCUUCGCUUAAUUCUCUGCCCCUCUGAGUUUCCCCACCAUCUCACAACACCCCCUAGCCCGAAGGCCUACCCUUCUCUCUGGGCGGACACCAACUUCACUGCCAUCAUACCCCGAGUCUUCCGUAUCUAGCACAGCUAGUGCAACUCUGUGUUCUUUGUUUGCCAGCCUGGCCUUUUGACCUAUGAAUAGGAGAGUCAGAACUUUAGAAAGAACUUUAGAAACUCCCCCCCCCCUUUUAAAUAUACUUAACCUAAUUUAUAAGCCCACUAUCUCACAGUUAACUCAAAAAGUGAGUUUGUUCUGAGCAAAGCUAUUAUCUCAUUAAGUGGAUAACAAUCUCAUGGUUUAGUUUAGGUUUUUUGUUUUCUUUUCUUUUUUUUUUUUAAAAAAAAGGGCUACAGGUAACAAGGUUCAUGUGGGAGAAUAAAAAUAUGCUGGCUACAUAUUUCCAAAACAUUAUCCUCAUUACACAUUUUGAUUGUUUACUCACAUCUAGGCUUUGGGUUUUGA